rnacentral:rRNA from 1 species
AUACGAAAGGUGCAAGCGUUGUUCGGAUUUACUGGGCGUAAAGAGAUCGUAGGUGGUUUGUUAAGUCGGAUGUGAAAUCCCGGGGCUCAACCCCGGAACUGCAUUCGAUACUGGCAGACUAGAGUUUGGGAGGGGUAAGCGGAAUUACGUGUGUAGCAGUGAAAUGCGUAGAUAUACGGAGGAACACCUGAGGCGAAGGCGGCUUACUGGACCAAUACUGACACUGAGGAUCGAAAGCGUGGGUAGCAAACAGGAUUAGAUACCCUAGUAGUCC